UACAUCGGGAGGUUAGUGGCGCAAGGGUGAGUAACACGUGGGCAACCUGCCCGGAAAUGGGGGAUAGCCCGCCGAAAGGCGGAUUAAUACCGCAUGUGACUGGGGACGGCAUCGUCCCUGAGUGAAAGUCGGUGAAAGCUGACGUUUCCGGAUGGGCCCGCGGCCUAUCAGCUAGUUGGUGAGGUAACGGCUCACCAAGGCUAUGACGGGUAGCUGGUCUGAGAGGACGACCAGCCACACUGGAACUGAGACACGGUCCAGACACCUACGGGUGGCAGCAGUCGAGAAUUUUUCUCAAUGGGGGAAACCCUGAAGGAGCGACGCCGCGUGGAGGAUGAAGGUCUUCGGAUUGUAAACUCCUGUCAUGAGGGAGUAAGACAUCGCGUUAACUGCGUGGGUGUUUGAUAGUACCUCAAGAGGAAGAGACGGCUAACUCUGUGCCAGCAGCCGCGGUAAUACAGAGGUCUCGAGCGUUGUUCGGAUUCAUUGGGCGUAAAGGGUGCGU
rnacentral:rRNA from 1 species